ACAUGUAUUCACAUGGGGUUACUGUGGGGGCCACCUUGAUGUAUGUAUUAUGCAUCCAUGCCAUCCAUUAUUAUUUUCGAAUCAUUAUGGGGCACUAUCCCAAAAAAUGAAACAAUCUAAUUACCGGGUGGACCAUACCAUAAGAAAAACAAAUAUCAUAUUCAUCCAAAACUUGUGUGACCCCCAAAAGGCUUUCAAUGGUAGACGUUCAAUCCCCCACUGCUUUUGGAGUGUGGUCCAAUUGAUUUUUGCAUCUGUAUUAUUUUUCUGGUCAAGCUUUACAACGAUCUCAACAAAUGGACAGGCGGUUUGGAUAUAACACAUACCUUAUGGUGGGACCCACAUAACUUGGUGAUGUCAACACACCAGCCACACAAAACAGUGAGGAGAGUUUGGGGUCACAGGCAAUCCAUUAGCAUCAUCAAUCCCGACAACCGCAAACCCACCAGCUUCAAGUGAUUUCUUGCUCUUCUUCUUCAUCCUUUCUGAAAUCUCUUCAAUUUGAAUCCCCCAUUUCAGAGUUUGGGGUCACAGGCAAUCCAUUCCCAUUUCAGAGAAGGCUGCUUCUGUCUCUCAACACUGAACAUAUUCUGUUUUCAGUGUGCUCUUAAAAGGGUGCCGGCUAUUUGGCACGCAUCCAAGAUCAGAGUCGUUUGGAGGGUGGGUUGUCCCUUGGUGCAACACCCAGCAGGCCACAAAACAAUGGACGGUUUAGAGCAGGUAUUGAGUGUGGGAUGGAAAACAGCCCUGGAAAUCAGCUUUAGAGAUUGGUUUCUGAUUGAGAUUGUAGGAGUGGUUGAAGAACGGGGAUCGUGAGCUGGUUGAAUGGCCAUAAUUGCAGAAGUAGAUCUAAUUCUAGAUCUGGAAAUUCGAAGGAUUGCUGGAAUAGGAUCUGAUCUCAGAUCUGAGCCAUUGUCGGACCAUGAUCUGUCUUGAUCUGCUGCAGAAAUUGUUGAUUUUGUAAUGUGCUUAAUUUUUUAUUUUUUAUUUUUAUAUAGAAAUAUGCACAUUAAUUGUUUGACGAAAUGCUUCAACCAAGACCCUUUUUGGAUGGAACCACACUAGCUGUCCUCCAGUUUGAUACACACAACUUGUUGUAUGGUUGGAUGAAACCAAUGGAUUCUAAGAAGUAA